UGGCGGCGUGCCUAAUACAUGCAAGUAGAACGCUGAAGGAGGAGCUUGCUUCUCUGGAUGAGUUGCGAACGGGUGAGUAACGCGUAGGUAACCUGCCUGGUAGCGGGGGAUAACUAUUGGAAACGAUAGCUAAUACCGCAUAAGAGUAGAUGUCGCAUGACAUUUGCUUAAAAGGUGCAAUUGCAUCACUACCAGAUGGACCUGCGUUGUAUUAGCUAGUUGGUGAGGUAACGGCUCACCAAGGCGACGAUACAUAGCCGACCUGAGAGGGUGAUCGGCCACACUGGGACUGAGACACGGCCCAGACUCCUACGGGAGG
rnacentral:rRNA from 1 species